rnacentral:sRNA from 1 species
GUUUACCCAAAGAGCCGCACAUUGCAAGCGGGGCAGAUUUAGCUGGGAUGGGCAGAGGGCGUUCUAGGUCAUGCUGGGGUAGAGCUGACAACUGUGCCUGGGUCCGAGUGCUUCCCUCUCUGCCAGAUGGCGGCCAAGCACCUGGCGGGGGUCCUGCUGCACUCCCUGAGUGAGGAGUGCUACUGGAGCCCCCUGUCCCACCCUCUGCCUGAGUUCAUGGGCAAGGAGGAGAGUUCUUUCGCCACUCAGGCCCUGCGGAAACCUCACCUCUAUGAAGGAGACAACCUCUACUGCCCCAAGGACAACAUCGAGGAAGCCCUCCUGCUCCUCCUCAUCAGCGAAUCCAUGGCAACUCGAGAUGUGGUGCUGAGCCGGGUGCCGGAGCAGGAGGAGGACCGGACAGUGAGCUUGCAGAAUGCCGCAGCCAUCUAUGACCUCCUGAGCAUCACGUUGGGCAGAAGGGGACAGUACGUCAUGCUCUCGGAGUGCCUGGAGCGAGCCAUGAAGUUUGCGUUUGGAGAAUUUCACCUUUGGUACCAGGUGGCCCUCUCCAUGGUGGCUUGUGGGAAGUCAGCCUACGCUGUGUCCCUGCUGCGGGAGUGUGUGAAGUUGCGGCCCUCGGACCCCACCGUGCCCCUGAUGGCCGCGAAGGUCUGCAUCGGGUCCCUUCACUGGGGCUCAGCAGCUGGCGCCCAGUGACCCCCAGGUCAUCCUCUAUGUCUCGCUGCAGCUGGCCCUCAUCCGACAGAUCUCCAGUGCCAUGGAGCAGCUGCAGGAGGCCCUGAAGGUACGCAAGGAUGAUGCCCACGCCCUCCACCUGCUGGCACUGCUCUUCUCUGCCCAGAAGCACCACCAGCAUGCCCUGGAUGUUGUCAACAUGGCCAUCACCGAGCACCCUGAGAACUUCAACCUGAUGUUCACCAAGGUGAAGCUGGAGCAGGUGCUGAAAGGCCCAGAGGAAGCCCUCGUGACCUGCAGACAAAUGCUGAGGCUGUGGCAGACCCUGUACAGCUUCUCCCAGCUGGGAGGCCUAGAAAAGGAUGGCAGCUUCGGUGAGGGCCUCACCAUGAAGAAGCAGAGUGGCAUGCACCUGACUUUGCCUGAUGCCCAUGAUGCAGACUCUGGAUCCCGGCGGGCUUCGUCCAUCGCCGCCUCCCGGCUGGAGGAGGCCAUGUCAGAGCUGACUAUGCCCUCUUCGGUCCUGAAGCAGGGCCCCAUGCAGCUGUGGACCACGCUGGAACAGAUCUGGCUGCAGGCUGCUGAGCUGUUCAUGGAGCAGCAGCACCUCAAGGAAGCAGGUUUCUGCAUCCAGGAGGCGGCGGGCCUCUUCCCCACUUCUCACUCAGUACUCUAUAUGCGGGGCCGGCUGGCUGAGGUGAAGGGCAACCUGGAGGAGGCCAAGCAGCUGUACAAGGAGGCGCUCACGGUGAACCCAGAUGGCGUGCGCAUCAUGCAUAGCCUGGGUCUGAUGCUGAGUCGGCUGGGCCACAAGAGCUUGGCCCAGAAGGUGCUUCGUGAUGCCGUGGAGAGGCAGAGUACGUGCCACGAGGCGUGGCAGGGCCUGGGCGAGGUGCUGCAGGCCCAGGGCCAGAACGAGGCUGCCGUUGACUGUUUCCUCACCGCCCUUGAGCUGGAGGCCAGCAGCCCUGUGCUGCCCUUCUCCAUCAUCCCCAGAGAGCUCUGACGACGCUGCAGCCGCAGGGAGGGAGGGGCUGGCCAGAGGGAGAGGCAGCAGGGAACGUGGGUCAGGGUGGGGCAACAGUGGCAUCAGGUGCGGGGCCUCAGGGAAAUACGUGUUUAGUGAACGCCUCUGCAGCUGCAGCCCUCGUUAUCUUGGCUGGGCCAAGAGGGCCUUCCUGGAUUUCUUUGUUGGUGCCUUGGGAAACAGUCUGACUUGAACCCUAAGUGCCUUUGGAGAGUUUUGUGGUGACCAGACUUGCUCCCCAAGAGCUGGGCAGCGGGGAGCCUCACAGCUGUCCUUCACCCUCACCCAUGCCUCUGGCUUGGGGUCUGGGGGGGUCUCACUCCCCACUCUCAGCACAGUACAGACUUCUGGAUCUCUCUCAGGUCUUGCCCAGGGCAGUCACAAUGUGAAGAAACUGCGGGCAAGUGGGAAGACUAUGAGAUUUCUGGGUUCCCUUCUCAGACUUGGAGUUAGUAGAUGAUUCCUGCAUUGCCCCUCCUUGCCCCCUGAGACCAGCUGGGCCCCACCUUGCUCUUUCCCCCUGCUACCAAGUGCCUUUGGGGCCUCUGGGGUCUGACCAGGGGUACUGAGCACCGGCCCUAACACUUCCAUUUCCACCCACCCCAUCUCCCUGGAAAUAUGCUCCAGCCCAAGCAGCCUCCGUAGGCUUUAGAUCCUGUGGUUGCUAGAUCCAGUCCUUUCUAAUACCCUGAGUCAACACAUUACUUCUGCAGGUCUUAGGCUACAAUGCAGGUCCCUUGAGGGCCACCAACAUGGAGGUAGGCAGUUUCUAGGACUGUCCCCAGUACAUCUCACCACCCACAGCCCUUUUUUUGCCUUGAUUCGAGCCUCACCCCGGCCUUUUGGCUUCCCCUGCCUGAGAGAGACCUGAGGAGGGGACAGAGCCCAGCCCCUCUCCUGUGGCUGAGCAGGCCGGUGUGUCCAUGACACCUGUCUUCCGGGCCUGGGGGCUGUGGGUGUAUGUCCUCCCUACUGGCUUCCCCGGCCCCUGCUGCAUGAUGCUCUUGGAACUCUUCCCCAAGGAGUCAGUCCCCCAGGCCUAUCAGGGAAUCCUUUUGUAUCUGCACUUUGGGUUUUAGUUUCAAAGCUCCAUCAGGUACAGCUUGCAUUUCAGGAUGUGUGGAAAGCUCGGGUGAGGGCUGCCCUGGUUCAUCAUAGCUCCACCUUCCUCGGAAGGAGUGGGCUGUUGGAGACCCCCCCAUCCAUGGCACACUAGCUCAGCACUGCAUGUCCCGAGAUGAUUCCCAAGACAGCUGGUGCCUCCUGGCUUUCCUGCGCCAGGCCAAGGGGCACCACAGAGGACCCUGGAUCCUUUGCCUCUUCUUGGUUGAAGGAUCUCUAUGUAUGUGUGUAUAUAAAUUUAGUUUUUUAUCUAUAUAUAUAAAA